rnacentral:rRNA from 1 species
UACAGAGGUCCCAAGCGUUGUCCGGAAUUAUUGGGCGUAAAGAGCUCGUAGGCGGUUUGUUGCGUCGGCUGUGAAAUCCCGAGGCUCAACCUCGGGUCUGCAGUCGAUACGAGCAAACUAGAGUGUUGCAGGGGAGACUGGAAUUCCUGGUGUAGCGGUGAAAUGCGCAGAUAUCAGGAGGAACACCGGUGGCGAAGGCGGGUCUCUGGGCAACAACUGACGCUGAGGAGCGAAAGCGUGGGGAGCGAACAGG